rnacentral:rRNA from 1 species
CAAGCCUGACGGAGCAAGACCGCGUGGGGGAGGAAAGCCUUUGGGUUGUAAACCCCUUUUCUCAGGGAAGAAGAAAGUGACGGUACCUGAGGAAUCAGCCUCGGCUAACUCCGUGCCAGCAGCCGCGGUAAUACGGAGGAGGCAAGCGUUAUCCGGAAUGAUUGGGCGUAAAGCGUUCGUAGGUGGCAAUUCAAGUCUGCUGUCAAAGACAGUAGCUCAACUACUGCAAGGCAGUGGAAACUGAAUAGCUAGAGUGCGGUAGGGGCAGAGGGAAUUCCCGGUGUAGCGGUGAAAUGCGUAGAGAUCGGGAAGAACACCGGUGGCGAAAGCGCUCUGCUGGGCCGCAACUGACACUGAGGGACGAAAGCUAGGGGAGCGAAUGGGAUUAGAUACCCCAGUAGUC